rnacentral:rRNA from 1 species
UACGAAGGGGGCUAUCGUUGUUCGGAAUUACUGGGCGUAAAGCGCACGUAGGCGGAUGUGCCAGUCAGGGGUGAAAUCCCGAGGCUCAACCUCGGAACUGCCUCCGAUACAGCACGUCUCGAGUCCGGAAGAGGUGAGUGGAAUUCCUAGUGUAGAGGUGAAAUUCGUAGAUAUUAGGAAGAACACCAGUGGCGAAGGCGGCUCACUGGUCCGGUACUGACGCUGGGGUGCGAAAGCGUGGGGAGCAAACAGG